rnacentral:tRNA from 1 species
CGGGGCGUAGCGCAGUUGGCAGCGCGCGGCGCUUGGGACGCCGAGGUCGGAGGUUCAAAUCCUCUCGCCCCGACCA